rnacentral:rRNA from 1 species
AGUGAACGCUGGCGGCAGGCCUAACACAUGCAAGUCGAGCGGCAGCGGGUCCUUCGGGAUGCCGGCGAGCGGCGGACGGGUGAGGAAUGCAUCGGAAUCUGCCCUGUCGUGGGGGAUAACCUAGGGAAACUUAGGCUAAUACCGCAUACGACCCACGGGUGAAAGCGGGGGAUCGCAAGACCUCGCGCGAUAGGAUGAGCCGAUGUCCGAUUAGCUAGUUGGCGGGGUAAAGGCCCACCAAGGCGACGAUCGGUAGUUGGUCUGAGAGGAUGAUCAGCCACACUGGGACUGAGACACGGCCCAGACUCCUACGGGAGGCAGCAGUGGGGAAUAUUGGACAAUGGGCGCAAGCCUGAUCCAGCCAUGCCGCGUGGGUGAAGAAGGCCUUCGGGUUGUAAAGCCCUUUUGUCCGGGAAGAAAUCGUCUGGGCUAAUACCCCGGGCGGAUGACGGUACCGGAAGAAUAAGCACCGGCUAACUUCGUG